CCUACGGGUGGCAGCAGUGAGGAAUAUUGGUCAAUGGGCGAGAGCCUGAACCAGCCAAGUCGCGUGAGGGAGUACUGCCCUAUGGGUUGUAAACCUCUUUUGUCGGGGAGCAAAAGCCGGACGUUUCCGGCUGUGAGAGUACCCGAAGAAUAAGCAUCGGCUAACUCCGUGCGAGCAGCCGCGGUAAUACGGAGGAUGCGAGCGUUAUCCGGAUUUAUUGGGUUAAAAGGGUGCGAAGGCGGAUUUUUAAGUCAGCGGUAAAAUCGUGGGGCUCAACCCCAUCCAGCCGUUGAAACUGGGGAUCUAGAGUGUGCGAGAGGUAUGCGGAAUGCGUGGUGUAGCGGUGAAAUGCAUAGAUAUCACGAAGAACCCCGAUUGCGAAGGCAGCAUACCAGUGCACAACUGACGCUCAGGCACGAAAGCGUGGGUAUCGAACAGGAUUAGAUACCCCAGUAGUC
rnacentral:rRNA from 1 species